AUUGAACGCUGGCGGCAUGCCUUACACAUGCAAGUCGAACGGCAGCACGGGAGCAAUCCUGGUGGCGAGUGGCGAACGGGUGAGUAAAGCAUCGGAACGUACCUGGUAGUGGGGGAUAGCCCGGCGAAAGACGGAUUAAUACCGCAUACGACCUGAGGGUGAAAGGGGGGGAUCGGAAGAACUCGCGCUAUUGGAGCGGCCGAUGUCAGAUUUGCUAGUUGGGGGGUUAAAGGCCUACCAAGGCGACGAUCUGUAGCGGGUCUGAGAGGACGACCAGCCACACUGGUACUGAGACACGGCCCAGACUCCUACGGGAGGCAGCAGUGGGUAAUUUUGGACAAUGGGCGCAAGCCUGAUCCAGCCAUGCCGCGUGCGGGAAGAAGGCCUUCGGGUUGUAAACCGCUUUUGUCAGGGAAGAAAUCUUCUGGGUUAAUACCUCGGGAGUAUGACGGUACCUGAAGAAUAAGCACCGGCUAACGACGUUCCAGCAGCCGCCGUAAAAC
rnacentral:rRNA from 1 species